UCCUGGUAUUUGAGUACCGCUUGUUGAUGAUGCUGCGGUAAAAAUCUUUGGCAUAAUUACUGGAGACUCAGAUGGUUCCUUUGUAUCCAUUUCCAGAGGGUCCUACAAAACAGUGCUGCCUGUUGUCUACCCAAAUAUACAGUCUUGGACACAGCACACAUGAACAUUCUUGGGCAAUGACCCAGAUCGGCAACAACCUAAACAGGAACACAGAGCUGGAGACGAGCCUUCUUGAGGACAUCGGGCUAGUGCCUUUGACUGGCUGUGACGUCCUACAUGCAUCGACGAAGUUGCCACACAUUCCCUUCCUUCCUUUCCUCCUCUCUCUCUUACAUCUUCUGUUUAACCUCCCUGCCUGACUGUUUCCUUCCUUCCACGAAGCACCAAGUUUUUUAAAAGCACACGUGUACCAUUUUA